AGUGGAAUGUGAAAAUACGUCAACCCAAUCGUGUUACAAGAGAGGUUUGUGAACGAGGAUAAUUAAGUAGCUCUUAUCACAAGUGACCCCCCGAAGUAUCACUUCACUGAUUUCUGCUACCGAAGAAAGUGGAAUGUGAAGAGACUUCAAGCCAGUCGUGUUACAAGAGAGGUCUGUGAACGUUGAUCAACAAGUGACCCCCGAAGGAUUACUUGACUGAUUUCUGUUACUUAAAGAAGAAGUGUAGCGUUUGGAGUGUGGGACUAGAUUUUUUCAACAAAAGCAGCAAGAGUGGGUACUAGUUUUAGUGCUGCGGUUUCUACCCUGGUGGAAGGACUCGCUCGUCGUCUUUCACAGCUACGUUUUAAGUCUCCCGUAUCUCUCGCCCACCUUUCGUACUAGCCUGCCUUUCGUUUAGGCUUUCCUUUAGCCUCGUUUCCGGCUGUUUCACACAUGCAAAUUCUCCUUGACUAAAUGUCCACAUUUAGGUUUUGAGGAGAGAGGGAAGCUGUUAAAUGAGUGCAGGUUGUUAAAGGGAAACUAUUAGGAAUGUGACAGUACAUGUUUGGGGAAACAGGCAAGUUUGAAAUAUGAUUUAAAAUAACAUUGAUAUCUUAGAAUUAUUGUUAAAAAAAAAUUUAAUAUAUUAUACAAAAACUAAAUAUUAACGUCUGAGCAUUAUUAUAUACAUUCUAAUUUGUUUAUUGUUGUAGUAAAUUUUAUUACAUUUGAAAUUGUA